rnacentral:lncRNA from 1 species
GGCACACUGAACCUUUACAAGUGCAUCAAAAGCACUGGAAUGUGAUAAAAGUGUAUUGAGAGCACAAAACCAAGCAUGAAGAGAAUUUUAGAGGUGGCAUGAUUUUGUGAUUCAGAACAAUGUUUUAUACAAGUAAAAUUAUAUUCUCUGAUAUGAGGUUUAAAAUACAUGUAUUUUUUAAAAAAUGUAUAUUGCCAAUAAUUAUAAUUACAUAAGCAUUUUUCAUGGUUGGAAAAAAAAUGGUCUAACAAUUCCUUAAUUAUUUUUGUGAACUUAUGUCACACACUUACUGGAAAAUUAGCCUUUGAACUGCUUUGUCAUAGGACUGUGAGCCAAAUAUAAUUACGUUGAUCAAAAUUGUCCUUUAAUGUGAAGCUGAAUAGUAAUUAUCAUCAGGGUGUCCUAUAGAACAUGCAAUAGAAACGUGAAUCUAAGUUGUCAGAAAAGUCUAUAAAAAGCAACUUAGAAGGACACGGUGCCCUGGCUUGAAGUAGAAAGCUUUAACAAUUUUGACCUCUCAUCAGUAACUCCUGAACAAUUUUAAAAUAAUGUAAAGUAAAAUCCUCAGGACAUCAUCAUUUGUCCCUGCAUCCUAAAUGUAGUUAACACAUAUGAUUGGGGACUAUGAGGUCCAGAGUAAACAUCAGUAAGAUAAAUUCCUCUAGUUCAAUAUAACUUUGUGAGAAUGAGCAAAGCAAAAGAGAGAAAUAACUUUUUAAAUCUAUUUAUAUACAAGUGUUUACAAGUUUUACAUCGCCUUAAUGUUUUGUUUUUUCCCUUUAUGUAUGUUUUAUUAAUUGCUUUUAUUAAGUUUAUAAUUUUUUUCAGGUGAUACAACAAUACCCCAGAUCAUUUUUUCACAGUCUGAUUUUUUUCUCAGCCUAGAUUUAUUUUUCCCUUCUGUGUGUCUGUGGCCUCCCAAGUUAUAGGUAGUCAUUGGUAAAUAAAAAAUAGACAAACAAACAACUCAGUGUCUCCCUUCAUGAGUUUAUAAUUUAGCUUGAAAUAUAUACAAUAAAAAUAGCUUUACGUGGUCAAAAAUUUGAAGUUUUCAAAUUGGUGCAAAGAAAAUGAAAAGAAAAUAUUAAAUUAGAAUAACAUACAGCCUUGCUACCUUGUUUCCCCAAAGAAACACAGCCAUACAGUAUUGAUACAGAGUAAAAAUUUGACAUAUGUUUGCCUUACCCUAAGUGCUAUAUAACACCUGUAAUCUCAGGACUUCAUACUUAAUGCCGUAAGUCUUGGUUUGGAGGACAGGGCAGAAUGGGAGCUUAUGGGAAAUUACAUUGUUUAUUAUCUCUAUUCUCUUAAAAUUUUAAACCGAAUAAUGUACUAUAUUUUAAUCAUAUUUCCACAUAUCUUGUUAAUAUAAUAUGAUUCUACUUCGAAAAUAUAAUAAUCUCUGGGCAUAUUGACUUAUUCAGACAUUCAUUUACAAAUAUACAGUUUUAUCAACCUUAGACACAAACGUUUCACAGAACCAGAAACUCAAGUUUCCUUAUUUAUUGUUUCUUUUCGUCCUUUCUGGCUUAUUUGAUGAACUUUAGGUGUUUCCGUUCCCAAGAAUGAGUAGAAAAAUGGAAUAUUGAUGUAGUGGAAAAUAAAGUGUUAGAUUAUAUGCUAACCAGAGGCAGGGAAGCUUUGAGUAAACUGCUCAUUGAGAGUCUGGGACCCACUUAGUAUAAUAAAUAUGCAUGUGUUAAGGCAAAAGGUUUUUGCUCAUUCACUCUAUUUCAAAGUAAACUAUAUAUUGCAUACCCUGGCAAUGGAAACUUUAAUGAAUUGCAGCAAAUUCCUAUGAAUUCUAAGAGACCCUUAGAGGAUAAUGUCUAAGCAAGUGUAUUCGUGUCCCAUUAAUGCAUCUGUAAAUAAAAGUGAGAAAUAAACAGCAUCAAGAUCAUAUUUAUUGGGUUUUAUUAAAUUUAUACAUUUAUGUAUAUAUGUGUGCUCAUCUUGGUUAAUGUACGCCAAGUACAAGCAGGUGCCUUCAAGGUGGGGAGGCACAGAAUCCACUGGAAAUGGAGUAAAAGGUAGAUUUGUUUUGUCUGGGAUGGGUUCUGGUAAAUAAAUGUGGGUCCUCUGCAAUAACGUUAGAUGUUCUCAUCUACUGAUACAUUACUGCAACCUCAAAGAGAAGAUUUUAUAGCAUUUCUCUCCUCACCUUCUUCACUGUCUAUUCUCCCAUAUACAUCUCAUUGCUGUUCUGCAAACUCAAGCCCACACCACAUAUAUAUAUAUAUAUAUAUAUAUAUAUAUAUAUAUAUAUAUAUAUAUAUAUAUAUCAGUGUUAUUGCAUAUAUUGCAUACGUAUGUGUCUAUGUGCAUGUGUGUAUAAAAUAUAUUUUCUGAAAUAAAACCUUUGAGUCCAUAUUAAUGUUAUUUGAAUGUAUGUUUUCAGCUCUGACCACUUGGCACUGGCCAACUAAUUGGUUUGAAGUUCCAUAGGAAAGCCACCUUUCCUGUUACAAGUUUUAGUUAAUUGUCUGUAGUUCCUUCUGCAGAGUUGAGGGAUUGUGGGCUCUUUUCACAUGUAGUUUAACAUGUUUUGGUGUGUGGGGGUUGUGUUCCCCACUUUCACCUUAUGUUUAGCAUGUCAUGUUGAUAAGAUUUUAUUGUUGUAACUUUUAGUGUUACUAGGAGACACAAUGUCACAGCAAAGUCCCUGAUCCUCUGGCUCUUGCAAUAUUUCUGCCCUCUUCCACAGUGUUCACUGGGGCUUUAGAGGUAGUACUGUUUGGUAGAUGUAUUCAUUGGGACAGGACACAAUUUUUUUUCAAAUAAUCCUAGUUAGGGUUUUAAAAGUAUUAUUUAUACUUACAAAAUAAGCAACAAUUUUUACUACAAUAGCUAUAGGUUGUUUCAAAAUAUUUUUUAAAGAAAAUGUCAUGAUGAAACUUUUAGAAUAAAUAUUAAACCUAGAAAACUAGCUAUUUCCUUCAAAGCAAGAUACCAAAAUUCUACUCCAAUGGUUUGAAUGAGAAUGCCCCUCCAGAGGCUCAUAGAUUUGAAUGAUUAUUUACCAGUUGGUGGUACUGUUUUGGUCUACAAAGUGAGUUCCAGGACAACCAGAGCUAUAUACAGAGAAACCCUGUCUCGAAAGAGAGAGAGAGUGAGAGAGAGAGAGAGAGAGAGAGAGAGAGAGAGAGAAAGAAAGAAAAAAAGAAAUGAAAAAAAGAAAAAGAAAGAAAAAAGAAAAGGAUUAAGGUGUGUGAUCCUGCUGGAAGAGGUGUAUAACUGGGGUUAGCAUUUGAGUUUUCAAAAUUUCCUACUAUACCUAGUUAGUUCUCUUUGCCCCUUG